AGAGUUUGAUCAUGGCUCAGAACGAACGCUGGCGGCGUGGAUAAGACAUGCAAGUCGAGCGCUGAUUACAGGGUAGCAAUAUUCUGUGGUCGGAGCGGCGCAAGGGUGCGUAACACGUGGGUAAUCUGCCAUGAAGUUUGGAAUAACUUGCUGAAAGGCGAGCUAAUGCCGGAUGUGACAAUUUGGAGGCAUCUUCGAAUUGUCAAAGCUGGGGACCGUAAGGCCUGGCGCUUCAUGAUGAGCCCGCGGCCUAUCAGCUAGUUGGUGAGGUAACGGCUCACCAAGGCUAAGACGGGUAGCUGGUCUGAGAGGACGACCAGCCACACUGGAACUGAGACACGGUCCAGACACCUACGGGUGGCAGCAGUCGAGAAUUUUUCACAAUGGGCGCAAGCCUGAUGGAGCGACGCCGCGUGGGGGAUGAAUGGCUUCGGCCCGUAAACCCCUGUCAUUUGCGAACAAGUUGGUUCAAUUAACACCUGAACCAUUGAUAGUAGCGAAAGAGGAAGGGACGGCUAACUCUGUGCCAGCAGCCGCGGUAAUACAGAGGUCCCAAGCGUUGUUCGGAUUCACUGGGCGUAAAGGGUGCGUAGGUGGUGAGGUAAGUCGGAUGUGAAAUCUCCGAGCUCAACUCGGAAACUGCAUUGGAAACUACCUUGCUCGAGGGUUGGAGGGGGGACUGGAAUACUUGGUGUAGCAGUGAAAUGCGUAGAUAUCAAGUGGAACACCAGUGGCGAAGGCGAGUCCCUGGACAACUCCUGACACUGAGGCACGAAAGCUAGGGGAGCAAACAGGAUUAGAUACCCUAGUAGUCC
rnacentral:rRNA from 1 species